UUGUACCGAAAGGAGCAGUGGACGACAUAGGAGUGAGAAUGCUGGCAUAAGUAGCGAGAAGUGAGUGAGAAUCUCACUGGCCGAAAACCUAAGGUUUCCUGAGGAAGGCUCGUCCGCUCAGGGUUAGUCGGGACCUAAGCCGAGGCCGAAAGGCGUAGGUGAUGGACAAUCGGUUGAUAUUCCGAUACCACUAUAAGCGUAUGACCAAUGGGGUGACGCAGGAGGAUAAGAUGUGCUAACUAAUGGAUGUUAGUCUAAGCACUUAGACAGUAAAGAUAGGCAAAUCCGUCUUUAYAAUGUUGAGGUGUGAUGGGGAAGGUGCAAGCACCGAAGUAUCUGAUUCCACGCUGCCAAGAAAAGCCUCUAGGGAGCAAAGUAGUGCCCGUACCGCAAACCGACACAGGUAGGUGAGGAGAGAAUCCUAAGGCCAUCGGAAGAAUUGCAGUUAAGGAACUCGGCAAAUUGACUCCGUAACUUCGGGAGAAGGAGUGCCAUAGAAAUAUGGUCGCAGAGAAUAGGCCCAAGCAACUGUUUAGCAAAAACACAGGUCUCUGCUAAAGCGAAAGCUGAUGUAUAGGGGCUGACGCCUGCCGGUGCUGGAAGGUUAAGGGGAACACUUAGCAUAAGCGAAGGUGUGAACUUAAGCCCCAGUAAACG
rnacentral:rRNA from 1 species